AAUCGGUAGACGCUACGGACUUGAAAAUCCGUCCACUUUAUAAGUUGUGAGGGUUCAAGUCCCUCUAUCCCCA
rnacentral:tRNA from 1 species